AGCCCUUGACAUGCCCGGCUACCUCCAGAGAUGGGGGGUUCCCUUCGGGGACCGGGACACAGGUGCUGCAUGGCUGUCGUCAGCUCGUGUCGUGAGAUGUUGGGUUAAGUCCCGCAACGAGCGCAACCCUCGCCCUUAGUUGCCAUCAUUAAGUUGGGCACUCUAAGGGGACUGCCGGUGAUAAGCCGAGAGGAAGGUGGGGAUGACGUCAAGUCCUCAUGGCCCUUACGGGCUGGGCUACA
rnacentral:rRNA from 1 species